rnacentral:rRNA from 1 species
CAAUAGCGUAUAUUAAAGUUGUUGCAGUUAAAAAGCUCGUAGUUGGAUUUCUGGUGGGAGCGAUCGGUCUGUCGCUUAGCGCGAGUACUUGCAUCGUCUCCGGCCAUCCUUGGGGAGAGUCUGUCUGGCAUUAAGUUGUCGGGCAGAGGAUCCUCAUCGUUUACUGUGAAAAAAUUAGAGUGUUCAAAGCAGGCUUAUGCCGUUGAAUAUAUUAGCAUGGAAUAAUAAGAUAGGACUUUGGUACUAUUUUGUUGGUUUGCGCACCAAAGUAAUGAUUAAUAGGGACAGUUGGGGGUAUUCGUAUUCCGUUGUCAGAGGUGAAAUUCUUGGAUUUACGGAAGACGAACUACUGCGAAAGCAUUUACCAAGGAUGUUUUCAUUAA